rnacentral:rRNA from 1 species
UUCGGGUGGAGCGGCGGACGGGUGAGUAACGCGUGGGAAUAUACCCUUCUCUAUGGAAUAGCCUCGGGAAACUGAGAGUAAUACCUUAUACGCCCUUCGGGGGAAAGAUUUAUCGGAGAAGGAUUAGCCCGCGUUAGAUUAGAUAGUUGGUGGGGUAAUGGCCUACCAAGUCUACGAUCUUUAGCUGGUUUUAGAGGAUGAUCAGCAACACUGGGACUGAGACACGGCCCAGACUCCUACGGGAGGCAGCAGUGGGGAAUCUUAGACAAUGGGGGAAACCCUGAUCUAGCCAUGCCGCGUGAGUGAUGAAGGCCUUAGGAUCGUAAAGCUCUUUCGCUAGAGAUGAUAAUGACAGUACCUGGUAAAGAAACCCCGGCUAACUCCGUGCCAGCAGCCGCGGUAAUACGGAGGGGGUUAGCGUUGUUCGGAAUUACUGGGCGUAAAGCGUACGUAGGCGGAUUAGAAAGUAUGGGGUGAAAUCCCAGGGCUCAACCCUGGAACUGCCUUUUAUACUGCUGGUCUUGAGUUCGAGAGAGGUGAGUGGAAUUCCAAGUGUAGAGGUGAAAUUCGUAGAUAUUUGGAGGAACACCAGUGGCGAAGGCGGCUCACUGGCUCGAUACUGACGCUGAGGUACGAAAGUGUGGGGAGCAAACAGGAUUAGAUACCCUGGUAGUCCACACCGUAAACGAUGAAUGCCAGA